rnacentral:lncRNA from 1 species
GAGCUCUGUUAAGGUCAGAGGAUAAAUUAUGAGCUGACCUUUCAGGGCUGCCUGGAUGCUGACAUAAUAAGAUGUGGCAUGCUGGGUGUUUCACACUGGGAGUUUCACGCUGGGUGUGUCAUGAUGGAUGUAUGAUGAAUGGUGUGUCACACUGGGUGUGUCCCUCUAGGUGUGUCCCUCUAGGUGUGUCACACUGGGUGUGUCCCUCUAGGUGUGUCCCUCUUGGUGUGUCACACUGGGUGUGUCCCACUGGGUGUGUCCCUCUAGGUGUGUCACACUGGGUGUGUCCCUCUAGGUGUGUCCCUCUAGGUGUGUCACACUGGGUGUGUCCCUCUAGGUGUGUCCCUCUAGAUGUGUCACACUGGGUGUGUCCCUCUAGGUGUGUCCCUCUAGGUGUGUCACACUGGGUGUGUCCCUCUAGGUGUGUCCCUCUAGGUGUGUCACACUGGGUGUGUCCCUCUAGGUGUGUCCCUCUAGGUGUGUCACACUGGGUGUGUCCCUCUAGGUGUGUCACACUGGGUGUUUCCCUCUAGGUGUGUCCCUCUAGGUGUGUCACACUGGGUGUGUCCCUCUAGGUGUGUCCCUCUAGGUGUGUCCCUCUAGGUGUGUCCCUCUAGGUGUGUCUCUCUAGGUGUGUCUCUCUAGGUGUGUCCCUCUAGGUGUGUCUCUCUAGGUGUGUCCCUCUAGGUGUGUCCCUCUAGGUGUGUCUCUCUAGGUGUGUCCCUCUAGGUGUGUCUCUCUAGGUGUGUCCGCUGGGUGUGUCCCUCUAGGUGUGUCUCUCUAGGUGUGUCUCUCUAGGUGUGUCCGCUGGGUGUGUCCCUCUAGGUGUGUCCCUCUAGGUGUGUCCCUCUAGGUGUGUCUCUCUAGGUGUGUCUCUCUAGGUGUGUCCGCUGGGUGUGUCCCUCUAGGUGUGUCUCUCUAGGUGUGUCCCUCUAGGUGUGUCUCUCUAGGUGUGUCCGCUGGGUGUGUCCUUCUAGGUGUGUCACACUGGGUGUGUCCCUCUAGGUGUGUCCCUCUAGGUGUGUCCCUCUAGGUGUGUCCGCUGGGUGUGUCCCUCUAGGUGUGUCCCGCUUGGUAUGUCACGCUGGGUGUGUCACGCUGGGUGUGAUAUGAUGGGUGUGUCACGCUGGGUGUGUCAUGAUGGGUGUGUCACGCUGGGUGUGCCAUGAUGGGUGUGUCACGCUGGGUGUGCCAUGAUGGGUGUGUCACGCUGGGUGUGUCAUGCUGGGUGUGUGAUGAUGGGUGUGUCAUGAUGGGUGUGUCACGCUGCGUGUGCCAUGAUGGGUGUGUGAUGAAGGGUGUAUCAUUGUGUAUCCAUUUCAAAGAGAAUAAUUAAUAUAUAUAUAUAUUAUAUUCCGGCCCCUGGUAAUGACAACCAGGUCCCUCUCUAGUGUGAGGGUUUAUCUCCGUCCACUGGGGGGACGAUGGUGAAUGGAGCUGUCAGAU